UGGGGAAUAUUGCACAAUGGGGGAAACCCUGAUGCAGCGACGCCGCGUGAGCGAAGAAGGUUUUCGAAUCGUAAAGCUCUUUCCUAUGGGAAGAUAAUGACGGUACCAUGGGAGGAAGCCCCGGCUAACUACGUGCCAGCAGCCGCGGUAAUACGUAGGGGGCGAGCGUUGUCCGGAAUUACUGGGCGUAAAGGGUUCGCAGGCGGCAUGGUAAGUCCGAUGUAAAAGGCGAAGGCUCAACCUGCGUAAGCAUCGGAAACUGUCAAGCUUGAGUGAAGGAGAGGCAAGUGGAAUUCCUAGUGUAGCGGUGGAAUGCGUAGAUAUUAGGAGGAAUACCGGUGGCGAAGGCGACUUGCUGGACUUCAACUGACGCUGAGGAACGAAAGCGUGGGUAGCAAACAGG
rnacentral:rRNA from 1 species